CGCGUAGGCGGCGCUCCAAGUUAGGCGUGAAAGUCCUGGGCUCAACCUGGGAACUGCGCUUAAGACUGGAGUGCUUGAGGAUGGAAGAGGGUCGUGGAAUUCCCAGUGUAGAGGUGAAAUUCGUAGAUAUUGGGAAGAACACCGGUGGCGAAGGCGGCGACCUGGUCCAUUACUGACGCUGAGGCGCGAUAGCGUGGGGAGCAAACA
rnacentral:rRNA from 1 species